CUUCAUCACUGGUACAAAAGCUCACCUCCCAUUAAAACAAGGGAGAAAGAGAACACAGAAUAUAUUCCAGCUAACAGAAAAAGGGAAUUUAAAGAAGUGACCAAAGAGGAAAAAAACUGCACUCAGAGGUUGUGAUGAAAACUGCAGGUGAUAAAUAACUUACUAGUAUCUUUCAUCUGAGGUUCAACCCACCUCAGAAGAAAACCAGCCAACCCAACAGAAAUCAACAAUUUAGUGUCAAAAAGGUGCAUCAGCAGCACAGGGAGGUGGAGAAGACAUCCAACCAGGCCUCUUCUGUGACUGGCAUGGUGCAAAGCAUGAUGGCCAUCUCAAACACAAUGCAAGCGGUAAGUGGACACCUGGU